rnacentral:rRNA from 1 species
AAAACGACUCUCGGCAACGGAUAUCUCGGCUCUCGCAUCGAUGAAGAACGUAGCGAACUGCGAUACUUGGUGUGAAUUGCAGGAUCCCGUGAACCAUCGAGUCUUUGAACGCAAGUUGCGCCCGAAGCCAUUAGGCCGAGGGCACGUCUGCCUGGGCGUCACGC